CCGUGCUAAGCGGGGAGGUAGCGGUGCCCUGUACUCGCAAUCCGCUCUAGCGAGGCUGAAUUCCUUCUUUAGGUUAGUUUGCUGUAGAGCCUGCUAGAAUAAGUGGUGUUGACGUUUGGGUCCUGCGCAAUGGGAAUCCGUGAACCCUGUCAGGUCCGGAAGGAAGCAGCAGUAAGCGGACGCUCCCAUGUGCCGCAGGGGUGCCUGAACUGAGCUAACUACUCUAGUAACGUCUAUGGCAGCUAGUCGACAGAAGGUGCACGG
rnacentral:SRP_RNA from 1 species